AAUGGAAAUUCCAUUCAUACCAUUUGGUGGUGCUGUAGUCCAGUUCCUUGUUCUGUCAGAUGGAGAUGUACUCUGAAUUUUGUAUUUUUUGUAUUCAGACCCAACACAAGCACAGCAGGGUGGGAACGAAAGGAUGAGUGAUGAGAAGACAGGAUAAUGAAAGAUCUGUGUGAAGGCUUGUGGUCAGACUCUGACCCUGUCAGUCAGUGACCCUGAACAAUGACACACCGAUUGACUCUUCGUCACCACCGUGUCAUAAGGACGGUUGUUGUAGCUGCAGAAUGUUCUGAGCAUAAAAGCAGAGCCAUCAAUCUCUGCUGGAACAGUCGUGUCCUCGCUGCCCUGAAAUGAUUUCAAACACCACAGGUCUUUUCCAUUAACCUUUAAAAAUUACAGAUACUUGCUUUCUCGCUGUAUCAAUACGAAUACACAUUAAUAAAAAAUACACACAGACAGUGUGUCAGACAAAUUCCCAAACUUGUUUUUGAUGUUUCCUUCUCCACUUAAAUUGCAACUGUUUCAGAGGGAUCACAGUGCAUGGGAGCAGAUGUAAUUUCAUUUAUAUGUGACGUUUCCCAGCAUGCCCCAUUCAGACGCCAAAGCAUAGCAUGGGGUCUCUCUUUUAUUCCCUCAGUCUCAGGAGACAUUCUCCAGCGUUAAAGAUCUCACCAGAAGGUGAAGUCAACUAGCAAACAUCCCACAAUAAUGGCACAAAGUGGAUUUAAUUUCUCACAAAGCAUCCGCCGUAAUCCACAAAGAUGACUCUCACAGACUUUCAGGGAGUUUUUAUGAUGCUAAUCAGAUCGCUGACAGCUUGAAGUCCACGGCUGACAGCGAUGAAAGCAAAUUUAAUUUUCUGUUUUCACACAACGCAACUUUAUUGAAACAAACUUGUAUCUCUAUGCAUGAGGAGCUGUUUUGAAGCAUAUGGUGAAACUAGCAUUAAACUAAAACUGCUAAAACUGCCUCAGAACUGUGUCCAGUCGGGUUUUUAUUUAGCAGCUGUUUUUUUAAUCUAGACA